CAUGCCCCUAGAGGUGUUGCAGUUGUGGCUGUGGUACCACAUGUGUUUCAGUAGGUGACAGAGAGGAAAGAGGCUAUGUCUGUGCUCAGUGUUUAGACCUAUGAACAUUGGGAUGAUUAUUAUCCCAGUCCA